rnacentral:rRNA from 1 species
AGCAGCCGCGGUAAUUCCAGCUCCAAUAGCGUAUAUUAAAGUUGUUGCGGUUAAAAAGCUCGUAGUUGAAUUUCGGGAUCAAUCUGUUGGUCGUGCCUUUGGUACGUACUAGCUUAUUGAUUUCUCCCUUCUGACGAACCAUGAUGUCAUUAAUUUGGUGUCAUGGGGAAUCAGGACUGUUACUUUGAAAAAAUUAGAGUGUUUAAAGCAGGCUCACGCUUGAAUACAUUAGCAUGGAAUAAUGAAAUAGGACGUUUUGAUUCUAUUUUGUUGGUUUCUAGGAUCGACGUAAUGAUUAAUAGGGAUAGUUGGGGGCAUUAGUAUUCAAUUGUCAGAGGUGAAAUUCUUGGAUUUAUUGAAGACUAACUACUGCGAAAGCAUUUGCCAAGGAUGUUUUCAUUAAUCAAGAACGAAAGUUAGGGGAUCGAAGACGAUCAGAUACCGUCGUAGUCUUAACCAUAAACUAUGCCGACUAGGGAUCGGAUGACGUUAAUUUUUAAUGACUCAUUCGGCGCCUUAC